rnacentral:pre_miRNA from 1 species
UAACAAAAAAACAUUGAUUGUUCCGUGUUAUUAUCUUAUUGGUCGUUAAAUUUCCAUUCACCAUUUUAUCAACCAAUUAGAUAAUGACACGUGACAGUCAACAUUU